UACGGGGGGUGCAAGCGUUAUCCGGAUUCACUGGGUUUAAAGGGUGCGUAGGCGGACAGGUAAGUCAGUGGUGAAAUCUCCGGGCUUAACCCGGAAACUGCCGUUGAUACUAUUUGUCUUGAAUAUUGUGGAGGUAAGCGGAAUAUGUCAUGUAGCGGUGAAAUGCUUAGAUAUGACAUAGAACACCCAUUGCGAAGGCAGCUCACUACCCGAAUAUUGACUCUGAGGCACGAAAGCGUGGGGAUCAAACAGG
rnacentral:rRNA from 1 species